AUACGGAGGAUGCGAGCGUUAUCCGGAUUUAUUGGGUUUAAAGGGAGCGUAGGUGGGAUAUUAAGUCAGCUGUGAAAGUUUGGGGCUCAACCUUAAAAUUGCUGUUGAUACUGGUUUCCUUGAGUACGGUACAGGUGGGCGGAAUUCGUGGUGUAGCGGUGAAACGCUUAGAUAUCACGAAGAACUCCGAUCGCGAAGGCAGCUCACCGGGCCGGAACUGACACUGAUGCUCGAAAGUGCGGGUAUCAAACAGGAUUAGAUACCCUGGUAGUCCGCACAGUAAACGAUGAAUACUCGCUGUUUGCGAUACACUGUAAGCGGCCAAGCGAAAGCGUUAAGUAUUCCACCUGGGGAGUACGCCGGCAACGGUGAAACUUAAAGGAAUCGACGGGG
rnacentral:rRNA from 1 species